AUUAUUUUUGAGUUUGUAAAUAUUUAAUUAACUUUGAAUACAAAAUUAUUUAUGAAUUGUAUAUAGUUUAUUGGUUUGUGUGUGCAGUUAAAAGGAAGGAAAAAAAUUCGUGUCAUUUAUGUACUUAUUCACCCAUUUUUCUUAUUAAAUACUGCGAAAUGUAAUAUAUUCUUGUAUUUCUGUGUUCUUUUGAACAAAUAUACUCAUUUUUUCAUGUUCUCUUUGAUAUCGUAUUAAUAGUAAUGUUAAAUAUCUGGCUGAGCAAAUAUUUUGGUUAUCUGCGCUCAACUUUCCAGACGUUAUUGGAAAUCAGCUUUAAUAAUGCAUCUAGUUGAACAUGCUUAGCCAGAAACAUUAACAUAUUAACUUCAGCCGAGCUAGAGCGUGUAAUAUUAAUACCAAAAGCCUAACAUUCUAUGUACACUUAUUGUAAGCAAUUCUAGUAUUAUUCUGUUAUUUGUAGCGAAAUUAAAAAUUGCAGCAAGAAGCAGUAGCUUUUGCUGUGAUGGUUGUUUUGUUAUUAAGCCCAGUUAAUGUUCUCUUGCCUGUAUGCAGCGUGGUGUGGGUGUGAUAUGGCUAUUCUCAUUCUUGAUUGUAAGCAAACUGGUGAUUGCGAUCUGGCGAUCUUUUUUCCCUGAAUUUCUGCAUGUAUAGAAGGAUUUCAUGUCUGCAGAUAAUGUAUUACAAGAGGCUGUUGUGUGCCAGUGGACAAGCUGGUGAGAAGCUGAACACUAAUAGCUUGAAUCCUGGUGAAUGGACUGCCUGCAUAAGCGUCGUCAUGAUUUUUCCACGUGUAAUAUGAAUGCAAGCCAGUUUGCCUUAA